UGCAAAUGGUUUGAGCUCUCAACGAACGAUACGUUCAAGCUACUCACUUGAGAGCCCCCCUUGACAGUACGGCAAUCUAUCUUACAACAGAAAACCUAUCAAGGGAAAACCUAUACCUUGCACCUCGUCCUCUUGAGCUAGAUAACGAUGAUAUUGGCUUCCUCAAUAUGGACCACCUUCUUGAUUGCGUUGGCUUGAUGAAGACUAGUUGAUUGCUCCUCCAUGCACAACAUGGGUGAGCCGAUCUUCAGCAUAUCUUCACAAGUCCAUCGCCACCACAAUGGACGACAAGCUUCAAGCAUGAUAUCUUCGUUCUGAUCCACUUGAACUUGCACACCGCAAUAUUGAUGACGAUCACCACUUGACGUCAUCCUUCAUGGGUUGUAUGAGAUCUUCGUCUAGACGCAAACCCAUGGAAACA
rnacentral:lncRNA from 1 species